rnacentral:rRNA from 1 species
ACGGGCGAGUAAUGCUUAGGAAUCUGCCUAUUAGUGGGGGACAACAUUCCGAAAGGAAUGCUAAUACCGCAUACGCCCUACGGGGGAAAGCAGGGGAUCUUCGGACCUUGCGCUAAUAGAUGAGCCUAAGUCAGAUUAGCUAGUUGGUGGGGUAAAGGCCUACCAAGGCGACGAUCUAUAGCGGGUCUGAGAGGAUGAUCCGCCACACUGGGACUGAGACACGGCCCAGACUCCUACGGGAGGCAGCAGUGGGGAAUAUUGGACAAUGGGGGGAACCCUGAUCCAGCCAUGCCGCGUGUGUGAAGAAGGCCUUAUGGUUGUAAAGCACUUUAAGCGAGGAGGAGGCUACUUUAGUUAAUACCUAGAGAUAGUGGACGUUACUCGCAGAAUAAGCACCGGCUAACUCUGUGCCAGCAGCCGCGGUAAUACAGAGGGUGCGAGCGUUAAUCGGAUUUACUGGGCGUAAAGCGUGCGUAGGCGGCUUAUUAAGUCGGAUGUGAAAUCCCCGAGCUUAACUUGGGAAUUGCAUUCGAUACUGGUGAGCUAGAGUAUGGGAGAGGAUGGUAGAAUUCCAGGUGUAGCGGUGAAAUGCGUAGAGAUCUGGAGGAAUACCGAUGGCGAAGGCAGCCAUCUGGCCUAAUACUGACGCUGAGGUACGAAAGCAUGGGGAGCAAACAGGAUUAGAUACCCUGGUAGUCCAUGCCGUAAACGAUGUCUACUAGCCGUUGGGGCCUUUGAGGCUUUAGUGGCGCAGCUAACGCGAUAAGUAGACCGCCUGGGGAGUACGGUCGCAAGACUAAAACUCAAAUGAAUUGACGGGGGCCCGCACAAGCGGUGGAGCAUGUGGUUUAAUUCGAUGCAACGCGAAGAACCUUACCUGGUCUUGACAUAGUAAGAACUUUCCAGAGAUGGAUUGGUGCCUUCGGGAACUUACAUACAGGUGCUGCAUGGCUGUCGUCAGCUCGUGUCGUGAGAUGUUGGGUUAAGUCCCGCAACGAGCGCAACCCUUUUCCUUAUUUGCCAGCGGGUUAAGCCGGGAACUUUAAGGAUACUGCCAGUGACAAACUGGAGGAAGGCGGGGACGACGUCAAGUCAUCAUGGCCCUUACGACCAGGGCUACACACGUGCUACAAUGGUCGGUACAAAGGGUUGCUACCUAGCGAUAGGAUGCUAAUCUCAAAAAGCCGAUCGUAGUCCGGAUUGGAGUCUGCAACUCGACUCCAUGAAGUCGGAACCGCUAGUAAUCGCGGAUCAGAAUGCCGCGGUGAAUACGUUCCCGGGCCUUGUACACACCGCCCGUCACACCAUGGGAAUUUUGUUGCACCAGAAGUGGUAGUCUAACCGCAAGGAGGACGCUUACCACGGUGUGGCCGAAUGACUGGGGUGAAGUCGUAACAAGGUAACC